rnacentral:rRNA from 1 species
AUUGAACGCUGGCGGCAUGCCUUACACAUGCAAGUCGAACGGUAACAGGUCUUCGGAUGCUGACGAGUGGCGAACGGGUGAGUAAUACAUCGGAACGUGCCCGAGAGUGGGGGACAACGAGGCGAAAGCUUUGCUAAUACCGCAUACGAUCUCAGGAUGAAAGCAGGGGACCGCAAGGCCUUGCGCUCACGGAGCGGCCGAUGGCAGAUUAGGUAGUUGGUGGGAUAAAAGCUUACCAAGCCGACGAUCUGUAGCUGGUCUGAGAGGACGACCAGCCAAACGGGGACUGGGACACGGCCUAGACUCCUACGGGAGGCAGCAGUGGGGAAUUUUGGACAAUGGGCGCAAGCCUGAUCCAGCCAUGCCGCGUGCAGGAUGAAGGCCUCCGGGUUGUAAACUGCUUUUGUACGGAACGAAAAGACUCCUUCUAAUAAAGGGGGUCCAUGACGGUACCGUAAGAAUAAGCACCGGCUAACUACGUGCCAGCAGCCGCCGUAAUAC